GUGCUCGCUUCGGCAGCACAUAUACUAAAAUUGGAACGAUACAGAGAAGAUUAGCAUCUGAGCAGAUAUGUUUUGUUCAGCAUGAAAAAUCAUUCUGAUGUUG